GAUGAACGCUGGCGGCGUGCUUAACACAUGCAAGUCGAACGGAAAGGCUCCUGCUUGCAGGGGUACUCGAGUGGCGAACGGGUGAGUAACACGUGGGUGAUCUGCCCUGCACUUCGGGAUAAGCCUGGGAAACUGGGUCUAAUACCGGAUAGGACGAUGGUUUGGAUGCCAUUGUGGAAAGUUUUUUCGGUGUGGGAUGAGCUCGCGGCCUAUCAGCUUGUUGGUGGGGUAAUGGCCUACCAAGGCGUCGACGGGUAGCCGGCCUGAGAGGGUGUACGGCCACAUUGGGACUGAGAUACGGCCCAGACUCCUACGGGAGGCAGCAGUGGGGAAUAUUGCACAAUGGGCGCAAGCCUGAUGCAGCGACGCCGCGUGGGGGAUGACGGCCUUCGGGUUGAAAACUCCUUUCGCUAGGGACGAAGCGCAAGUGACGGUACCUGGAGAAGAAGCACCGGCUAACUACGUG
rnacentral:rRNA from 1 species